rnacentral:rRNA from 1 species
UCUUUUGCGACGCGUGUGGUUGGCACCACAAAAAAAAAGGAAAGAGAGAGAAAAGCAACAAACACGACGGUGCCCAGUUGGACAUCCMCCAAAACCUUGUGGCUAAUACACGCAGGCUCGGGUCAGCCACAUCACGACAGCACAGCAGGCACAAUCACGAGGCGCAGCAACAACAACAAAACGAACGAACGAACGAACACAACCGCAGAGCAGGGGGGAAAGGAGAGAGAGAGGGGACAGGGAAAAAAGCACAAACCAUCGCACAAACCAGGAGAGAACCCAGCAGCGCGCGGCAGGGGCGCUGCGGAGAGGGCACACCAAGAGGCAGCAAGGGGCAGCAGAGGGGCGGCGGCGCACACCGCGCCGACCGCAACCACUGCCCGCCGCGGCACCAACACAACACGCACCACAGGCACACCAGAGGAGAACAACAAAUGCACAAGGCACGAACACGACGGGGAGAGGGGGGCUGCGCUGUGUCUUUCUUUUGUGCUGGUGUUAUGUCGCGGCUCUGCCCCCGCGCCCCGUUGUGUGCCACCACAUAUACUGUGCUGGCGUUCUCCCCCAUCUACUCUGGUGUGCUGUUGUGUGGCGUGUCGUGUCGUGCGCUCUGCCGUGUCUCUUCCGCGCGCUGUGGCGGCUCCUUCCUGUGCKGUGUGCGGGCCCCCUCCCUCUUUCCCCCUUUCUCCCCGCGCGGCGGUGUGUUGCGCUGCUGCGCCCUCGCGUGUGUGUGUGUGUGUGUUUACCCUUGUGCGGGCCCACCGACGCCCUGCUGCUUUCUCUUUUUGCUGCCAUUGGACAGGGGCGUCGGCGGUCGCCCAGUGGUGGACUGCGCCCAGCCGACAGGAAGACCAGCGUCCCCUUUCCAGAGAGAGAGGGAGAGCGGUGGAAGACACCAGAAGGGAGAGAGUGUGUGUGUGUGCUGUGCUGUGCUGUUUUGCACUGUCCCGGUGUGUGUGUGUGUGUGAGCGCGUGCGCUGUGCCGUGCCGUGCGGGUGUNNNNNNNNNNNNNNNGNNNNNCCUGUGGCGUUCUUGCCGUCGCGUUGCGCCGCCGCUGUGUGUGUGUGUGUGUGUGGCGCUGUGGCGCCGUGCCUGUGCGUGCGCGCCGUUUUGCUGCCGCGCCCUGCCACAUCACGACGCGUGUCCGUGCGCCUGUUUGUGUCUGAGGCGAGAAGGGGGAGAGACAGCUGCGCUGGCAGAAAGAAACAAAACGUAUCCUUGGUUAUAGAAUGACGAUGGUGUGAGGGAAAGAGAGAGCAAGAAGAGAGCGACGACAAAAAACAAUGCCCCUUCUCACCUGUCUUUUUAUAGCGCAAAGAGAACGAAAGACAAGACAAACCGCUUGGUCGCAUGAACUUCUGACCUAUCAGCUGUGACUGUGGUGUAGUGGACCACAGUGGCUGUGACGGGUAACGGAGAAUCAGGGUCGGUCCGGAGAGGGAGCCUGCGAUACGGCUACCACUACCAAGGUGGGCAGCAGGCGCGCAAAUUGCCCAAUACCAACACACACCUUCGGUGAGGCAGCGACGAGCCGCAGCAAUCCCGCCAACCCUUCAAGUGUUGGCGGGACUUGGAAUGGAUGCGAUCCAAAAACCGUGAUGAGUAUCAACUGGAGGGCAAGUCUGGUGCCAGCAGCUGCGGUAAAUCCAGCUCCAAGGGCGUAUACUAACAUUGCUGCUGUUAAAACACUUGUAGUCUGCCACCGGGAUGCAGGUCUGCUGGGCGGCCAGCCGCCGUCUUGGUGGGAUCCGGUCUUCGGGCCGGGUCUUGCCUCGGCGGGGUGCUGGACUCAACCCCCAGCGGUAUGUCCCUGCUCCCACUUCUUUCUGCUGACGGUGAGAAUCGCUCCUGCCGAAAGCCUGCUUCACUGCAGGCCAAAGCGGCUCAUGCCUCCCACACUGGCUACGGACACAAAGGGGACCUGGCCCGUGCCAGGCAGACACCCCGUCCACCACCGGGGCCCACCGUCGUUGACACCCUGGAAAACUCAGUGUGCUCAAAGCAUCCUCUUGACGGCUGAAUGUCCAUCCAUGGAAUGUCAAGGCAUCGACCAGAUGUGGCCACAACAUGCAAAAGAAAUAAACGCACACCAAAAACCAAACACAACCACCACCACCACAGACAGAAUAGUAACAAGGAUAAUGAUAAUUAUGAUGAUGAUGAUGCGGUCUUGUGUGUUGUGUGUUGUGUGUUGUGUGUUGUGUGGUGUGUGUGUGUGACGUACUAAUGAUCAUUUUUGUGUAUCAUCAUAUCGUGCUGUAUUCUUUGUCAUGUCCUUUUAUGUCGACGACACAACAACAGCACGACACGCACCAGAGAACAGCAGCAGCAGCAGCAAGAAGAGGCACAGAACAAAACAGAAGGGGGGCAUAUCAUUCACACACCACCGCGCAGUAGUUGGUAGAGCAGCAUGACGAUGAAUAAUAUGUGGAUGAUGAUGAUGAUGAUGAUGAUGAAUGAAGAUGUUAUUAGUAUUAUUAUCAUCCUGUGUGCUGUGUGGUGUGCUUGUGGUGUUGUGGUGUGCUUUUUUUGCUCUGUUGAUGAUGUGAGUGCAUGUGUGAUGUAGUAUGGUGCGCUGCUGAGAUGAUGAUGGUGAUGGUGUGGUGUUUGUUUGUUGUGCGGUGAAAAAGAAAAACGACGUGCCUAUUAUUACACCGGCUUUGAUAUGAUGUGAUCAUGAUGGCUCAUUAUACUGUUAUUAUUAUUGUGCUGGCCUUGGAGCCCAUCGAGGGCAACAAUAUAGUGGUAUUCUUUUUGUUAUMUGUGUGGCAUCCUCGUUUUGUGACAGAGAACACACACACACAGACAGAGAGGGAGAGGAGCGCGUUGUUGUUGUUGUUGUUGUUGUGUGUGAGAGAACGACGGUGAAAUUGUACGAUGCGACAUAUGCAUGCAUGUGUGUGUAUCAUGUGUGUGUACACAUCCAUAAUACUGCUACCGCCGUGAUAUAUAUAUAUAUAUAUAUGACUGCUGAGAAGAGACAAAAAAAACUACCCCAACAAACAACCACAGAGAGAGAGAGGGAAACACCAAACAUAACAACAUAGUAAAUCUGUGUGCAUGCAGACAAUCGAAAACAAACACAAACAACGGACCCGAGGGGACCGCUCAGGGUGGAAGGUACUGUGGCGCCAGAGGUGAAAUUCUUAGACCGCUGCAAGACCCACUGCGGCGAAGGCGUUCUGCAUGUGCGUGUUCGUCGAUCAAGGAUGAGAGUCCGGGGAACAAAGAUGAUCAGACACCGUCGUAGUCCGGCCACCGUAAACUGUGCCAGCCUGGUUUCCGCAGGGAAAGUCCGAUGGUGACCCUGCGGGCGCCACGCCCCCUUGACCGAGAAAUCCGCAGCCUGUGGGUUCAGGGGGGAGUACGGUCGCAAGGCUGAAACUUAAAGGAAUUGACGGAAUGGCACCACAAGGCGUGGAGUAUGCGGCUUAAUUUGACUCAACGCGGGGAAUGUUACCAGGUCCGGACGCAGCUGGGAUGGACAGACUGAGAGCUCUUUCUUGAUCCUGUGGACGGUGGUGCAUGGCCGCUCCUGAUUGGUGGAGUGAUUUGUCUGGUUGAUUCCGAUAACGAGUGAGACAUCUCCCUCCCAUCUAGCCUCAGGCUCGCAUUUGGUAGGGUCCUUGGGCCAUGGGCGUUCCCGGUUGCUAUUCCUCCUCGGCGUCUGUUGUGUGCGAAAUCAGCAUUUUUUUAUGAUAUCCUGUUCUUCCGGUGUUUAUAAAUGUCGGUGCUGUGCUCGUCUCUGGGGCGUCGGUGUCGUUAUUAUCAGUCUGUGGUCUCGCCCAUCUUCGUGUUUUGCCCACCCGAGAGCCUUAUGAUUUCCUUUUUCUUGAGAUUCUUCGCUUCUCUGAGGUGCUGUGUACGCUGCCACAAGUGCACGCAUGCUAGAGCCAACAGCAGGUCUGUGAUGCUCCCAGAUGUCCUGGGCCGCACGCGCACUACAUUGGCACGGUGAAGGAGCCAAUACUGCUUUAUGUGUGAUAAUGGUGCCCACCUCGUCUUCUGUGGGCCCCGGCUGGAGGUGGCUGGGAAACCCCGCAAGUCYGUCGUUCUUUCUCUCUGUUGUUGUUUCUUUCAACACGAUUUAUAUAUAUAUAUAUAUCUACAGACACCAAUAGAGCAUAUCUCGUCGUGUUUCCCACUUAAUUAUCAAUGGUGAUGAUUUGAUAUGAUAUGAUAUGAUAUGAUAUGAUGAUGACGGAGGCCACCACACUCCUAUUAUUAUUUAUUAUGUGUGUUGUGCUGUUGUGUCCACAUCAUGCUGUGUGCAAUAUUAUGGGUGGUGAUAACGAUGAUAAUAAUAACGAUGAUGUGGUGGUGGUGCGACGAUGUGUGUGUGUGUAUACAUAUGGCUGCUGUGUGUGUGUGUGGGGUGUGUUGUGCAGCCGAGGAGUUAUAUCAGUGUGAAUAAUGGUACAUAUAUUUUUAUAUAUAUUGUGUGUUGUUCGUUUUGGGCCGUACUGGGGAUCGGCGAUUGCAACUGUCCGCCGGAACGKGAAUGCCUCGUAGGCGUCGGUCWCAGCGCACC